AUUGAACGCUGGCGGCAUGCCUUACACAUGCAAGUCGAACGGUAACAGGUCUUCGGAUGCUGACGAGUGGCGAACGGGUGAGUAAUACAUCGGAACGUGCCCGAUCGUGGGGGAUAACGCAGCGAAAGCUGUGCUAAUACCGCAUACGAUCUACGGAUGAAAGCGGGGGAUCGCAAGACCUCGCGCGGACGGAGCGGCCGAUGGCAGAUUAGGUAGUUGGUGGGAUAAAAGCUUACCAAGCCGACGAUCUGUAGCUGGUCUGAGAGGACGACCAGCCACACUGGGACUGAGACACGGCCCAGACUCCUACGGGAGGCAGCAGUGGGGAAUUUUGGGACAAUGGGCGCAAGCCUGAUCCAGCCAUGCCGCGUGCAGGAUGAAGGCCUUCGGGUUGUAACUGCUUUUGUACGGAACGAAAAGCUCUCUCUAAUACAGGGGUGAAUGACGGUACCGUAAGAAUAAGCGACCGGCUAACUACGUGCC
rnacentral:rRNA from 1 species